GACGAACGCUGGCGGCGUGCUUAACACAUGCAAGUCGAACGGAAAGGCCCUGCUUUUGUGGGGUGCUCGAGUGGCGAACGGGUGAGUAACACGUGAGUAACCUGCACUUGACUUUGGGAUAACUUCAGGAAACUGGGGCUAAUACCGGAUAGGAGCUCCUGCUGCAUGGUGGGGGUUGGAAAGUUUCGGCGGUUGGGGAUGGACUUGCGGCUUAUCAGCUUGUUGGUGGGGUAGUGGCUUACCAAGGCUUUGACGGGUAGCCGGCCUGAGAGGGUGACCGGCCACAUUGGGACUGAGAUACGGCCCAGACUCCUACGGGAGGCAGCAGUGGGGAAUAUUGCACAAUGGGCGGAAGCCUGAUGCAGCAACGCCGCGUGCGGGAUGACGGCCUUCGGGUUGUAAACCGCUUUCGCCUGUGACGAAGCGUGAGUGACGGUAAUGGGUAAAGAAGCACCGGCUAACUACGUG
rnacentral:rRNA from 1 species